rnacentral:lncRNA from 1 species
GGGGUGGUUGUGGGUGUUUGGCUGAGAUUUCCAGAUCUAAGUGGCUCUUUUAAUGCUGAACUGGGCUGGAAGCCAGUUGGUUGUGCCUAGAAAGAAAGAAAGAAAGGAAGACCUGAAAGGACCUCUGAGCCCAGAACCAGCCAGGCCCACCCCUCCACCUUCCUUGCCUGCUCAGCCUCUCCUGUGCAACCCAUCUUGAGGAAUCCUUGUUGUCCUUUCUGCACACAGAGGGCACACUCGGGACAUAUUUAGACUUGCUAUGUACCCAGACCUGAGGGUACACAAACAUGAAGAUACACAGACACACCUAAUCUGCCAAUUAUCAGGGGACUCUGGGCGACAAAUUUACCCUUCGAUUUAUGCUCUCGAUCAAGGAGAGAAUCCCUUUAAGUGUUUUUCAAGUGGACACAGUGACAAGCUUUUCAACAGAUGGUGCUAGAGUGAUGUCACAAGAACAAGGGUUUCCUGCAGAUUCUGGAUGUGCCUCAGUGGGUUUGCUUUAUGAGUUGAGAAUACCCUGUAGAGCCAGGGCCUGCACCCUGGGGAGUCAGAGAGAUUAGAGGAGCCACCUGGCUUCAACUCAACCUUCCUGCAGUCCUAGAAACAGGGAAAGACCCUGGGGCUUCCUAACCACUAUGCCUGGGAUUUCCUCUGCUUGUACCCUUCCCCCAGGUCUCCCAUGGUCCAAGCAGUGUUCCAGGCCUCCUGCUGCAUCUGCACCCCACUCUCACUGGGAAGCCAUUAGGGCCACCAGUUUCAGUUUGCCUGUCCUGCCCUGGUCUGCAGGGCUGAUUCCUGACUACCCCAUGAUUGCAGAGCUACUCUGGCUCAGCAAACAAGUGCAGUUCUUGGCCAUUCAGUAGGUUCAACAACGACGUUUCCAAAGGGGCCUGAGCCACAGGAAAUUUCUAAUAUCCUAUUAUUACCUUUUUAAUCAUAGCUUAAUAAUUCUAUGUUUUAAAUUUCCCCUCUUUAGAUUACUUUGUGAUCUCUGUCUCCUAAAUAGCUCCAGAGUAUUGAAUCCCUUCAGAGUUCAAAAUCCCAGGUGUGCUGUAUGAUCAUAGGUGGAGCCACACAAUUUAUAAAAAGGCUUAGACUCAUAUACAGAAAUCAAAUCGUGACACAGUACAUAUACAUAAGUACAUGUAUUCAUACAUACCUGGAUACAUAGAGUGUGAAUUUUUUUCCAAGUGCACAGUGUGGGAUUUUGGACAACUAAAUUGAUGGUGCAAUUAAUUCAUUAUUGCAAGAGCUGACCUUGCUCUCUCUGGUCCCAGAAAGAUAACAUAGGAGCUAAGAGAAUACCAGGGAAGACAUAUUAUGAUUUUGUCUUGAGACUUUCAUAAUUUUUUCUUCCAAGGGGUCCCCUUGUUCUUGGUUGAAUCAAAGUGUUAAAUGAAAUUGGGUUUAGCAAUCAAAGUGAGACAAAAACUGGUAGUCAGGGGUAUUUAUGCCCAACUCUUUAAAUUUCUGAACUUCCCCUAAAUGCUUGCCAGUUGGGUUUGCCUGCCAGUAUGAGUAUAGGGACAGAUGAAUUCCUUGAUACAUUUGCAAAUGGUAUGUGCAUUGUUGUAUAAUUGUCUUUGUUGAAAAGAAGGCCCAUGAUAUCUUUGGAUUCUCGCAGAGUUUGUGAGAAGCAAGGAAAAAAUACUAUGAGUGGAAACACAGGACAGUACAGGAUAGAGAGUGUACAGGAUAGAGAGUAUGAGAGGGAGAACAUUUUAGCCACAAGGGGCACUGCUGACAGAGACAGGUACUGUCACUUGUCUCUCAGUCAGACCACAUUGUAGGAUUUCCUGCCGACCAUGAACAAUUUCACCGAAGACCAACUUAAAACAAAACCUCUCUGUAUGAAACAUGAAAUCACUCCAAAAUAUCUCUACAUAUAGAGAAAAGAGAUGCUCUGUGAACCACAAAAGUGGAAAACAAGCCCUUCUCCUGCUUAACAUGAAUAUUAGCUGCUCCUUUACAAAGUAUAGCUUUGCCUCGCUCUACUCCACUCAUCUCACAAAAUUAAGAUACCCAAUCAGAGUUGCCCAGCUUCCUGACAGUUUCUUAAACUUCCCCUCAAAUCACCCAACACCAAACCAAAUCCCAUGAAAAAGUUUGGUGGACUGUUGUGUGUAAUUACCCUCCUGCAAAAGAUAGGAAAAAGAAAACUCAAAUCUGAAAAUAAAAUAAAAUAAUUGACUUUGACUGUGUUUUCCUGAUAGCCUUGGAGGGUGAAGACAGUCCCACAUAUUGCCUCUGUGAUGCAUGCAGCAUCCUGUGGAAAAGGGAAUGGGCUCAAAAUCUUAUUUUAUACAGGUCAAGACCAACAUUGAGCCAGUACGUGGUUUGUCUAAACUCACAAUCAUGAGUCAAAACCAAUACUUCUGAUUCUAAACCCACCCUUUGCCUCCCAGAUGGGAGUGUGCAAGAACACUGCUUCCAAGCUAAGAAAACUAUGGUCCGUCAUCCUGCAGAGGAGGAAGGCCUGUCUGAAGCAGACUGCCUUGGGGAGCUGUGCCAUGCACUCUUGGAGUGGACCCCACAAGUGUGCAACAAUGCACAGCCAAGGCAGUGGUGCCCUCUUUCACACAACAGAGAACUGAGACCAUAAAGGCAUUAGAAUCUGGCCAAAUUAGACAAAGAGGAAAUGGCAGAGCUGAGAUUCCACCCAGGCUAACAAAGGAGAUGGGAGGGCGACACCUUCCUACAGGUCAGAGAGGCAGUCAUCUCUGCCAGCCUCUUGGGGUGAGGGAGAUUCCAGAGGAGCUCUCAGAAGGGAGGCAGUGUUGGGAAGUCCCUGAAAUCCUGAAGAAAGUGGGCUUUUAUGUGGGGUAAAGAGCAGAGUGUGUAAUCAGAGGCUGAUGCAUGUAGAGAGAGGCAUCUCAUGGUGCAGAAGCUCUAGCUGGAGAUUGGAGAGCAGGAAGGUGCUCAUAAAUGGGUGGUGCUCAAAUCUGUGGGUCAAAUGUCAGACUGACUUCCUGCACAGUGCCCUCCCAACCCAGCCCAAUCCCGGGAAAUGUCAUGUUUGGGCAAUGCAGUUUCUUGGCCUUCGAACUUAGUACACAGUGAAGGCAAACACUGUGGUUCAAGUGAGUAUUUCCAGGGUGACCUAAUGUCAAUNAAAGAAUGGUCCAGUGGAAGGGACCCUGAAAGGGAAUCUGGCUCACACACUUGUGGUAUUUGGGGGCCCCUAUGAGGCCCCCCAUAUGGGCCUGAGGCCUUGUGUGAUGCUCAUAUCAUGGGGUCCCUCAAUGUCCCAAGCUAACGUGACAUUUUCAUGACAGCUGCUAUUGUUUUAAUCUAGAAUAUCCCCAAAGGUCCAUGUAUUAAAGGCUCGGUGCCCAGGCCACAGCACUUUAGGAAAGUUGUGGAAACUUUAAGAGGUGGGGCCCAAUGGGAGAUUUUGGGUCACUGAAUGCUUGCCCCUAAAUGGGAUUGUGCAGUACUGAGUUCUUUCUCUCUCUCAUUCCUGGCCAUGGGGUCAACAUACUUUCUCUACCAUAAUUUUCCACCAUGAUGCUUUGCCUCACUACAAGUAGAGAAGCAAGCACAAAAGCAACUGGACCAAGCAGCCAUAGACUUCAAAACUGUGAACCACAAUAAACCUUUUCUUUUUUCAUAUGUUGAUUUUUUUCAGGGAUUAUGUUAUAGUGAUAGGAAACUGACUAAUCCAGAAGAAGAGCUAGAAGAAAUUUAGUUCAGAAUUGAGUGAAUUAUGCUUCAUAGUGUAUAUUGUUCCAUCCCUUCUACACUAUCCCAGUUGAUUACUGGAAUAUGCUCAUUUAUCCACAAGAUACCCAUCCUCUUCCCAGACUUGCUCAUCUUUUUUCCCGCCCAUGUCCCACAAAAGUGGUGGAAAUAGAGUUCCUCUGCCUGGAGUGAGCUGGCUACGAAAUAAAGCUAAGGAAAAUAAAGGUGGUGAAAAAAACACCACAAGACACAACACCGAAAGUAAUUUUGAAAGGCGAGGGCAGGACGGCUCUACAACCUUAGGGGUUGAGCUUCAACACUGUAAAAAGAGAAAGUGAGAACCCAUGUUUGGUUUAUUCAUAUGGGGGGAACAUCAAAGAUUUUUCAAUAGAAUGUUCUUUUGCCAAAUAAGGUAGGAGGUGAGCUGUCCAGGCCCAAGGGUUUACACCCAAUUCCAGAGCUAGGAGAGCAGAUUUCCUAGCCCAGCAAAGACUGAGGUCACAGCAUUGUGUAAUCCAUUAAGUGGGAGGAGCCAUAAAAUGACUUGCAAUGCCAAACCAAAAUCUCCUUUGCUCAAGUCCCAUGAAGAUGCUAAAUAGCUCAGGAGUGGCUUCCCACAACUUUGUCUUGUUUUUUAAUUUUAAUUGUAUGGUACUUAUGUAUUUAAAUUGGAAACUUGUGUGCACUUGAAAACAUCUUCUUGUUCAUCACUUCAUAUUCAAUCAAUUCUCAAUGUAGGUCAGCUUUUCACCAUUAGGACUCUCUUCUAAUCUUUCUCUACACUGUAGUCAGAACAAACCUUAUAAAAUUCAAAUGUUAUCAUCUCUUUCCUUCUGAAAUGCCUCCAAAGACCUGUGGGAAAAUCCCCAAAGUUUUUCACACAGUUGACAAGUCCUAUUAUCAAUCAGUGCAAGCCUCCUCUCCUAUCACAGGGACCUCACACUGUGAACUGGGCAGACUGAAUAGUGUUACCAUUGGGAAGCCAGCCCACUCUUUUUUACCUUCAAACCAUUGCACAGGCUAUUCACGUUGUGAAACUUGGACAAAGUUCUAAGGGAAGCUUGAAUGGUCUUUGCAACACUCACAGAUUUCUAAAAACUCCUUUUGAAAAACUUUUUUCUUUUGAAAUCAUUUUAGUCUAACUUAGCAGUUGAAAGAAUCAUAAAGAAAAUUACCAUGUGCCUUUCAAUCAUCAUUGUUCACUAAUGAAUGACAGGAUCUAACAUACCAUAGUACAAGUAUUCAAACCAGGAAAUUGAUUAAUACAACAUUAAGAUACAGAUGCUGUUUGGAUUUAGCGAUUAUUUAUCUAGAUACUUUUCUUUUUCUUCAGGUUCAGCUCUCUGAAGAUUCUUUUUUGUAAACAUAAGCUUUUGUAACUACCAAGAUACAGAAUAGUUUCAUCACCCCCAAUAAAACUUCCCACUAGAAAUCUUUAUAGUUAUUCUAUGCUUCUAUUCCUAUCAAGAACUUAUUUGUUCUCUUUGAGUAUAGAUAUGUCUUUCAAGAAUGUUUUAUAUGAAAAAUCAUAUACCUUGUAAACAUUUGAAAUUAAAUUUGUUUUGCUCAACAUAAUAUUCUUGAGAUUAAUCCUAGUUAUUACAUGAGUCACUAGUCUGUUCCUUUUUCCCCUGUGCUUUCAAUCAUAUGAUGUACCACAGUUUAUCCAUUUACAUGUUGAAAAUAAUUUAGUUAUUUUGAGUAUUUUUAGUCAUUGAAACUGAACUUUCCAAAAUGUGAAAUAAACCUAUGGUGAAAUGCUAUUGAGCUUCAAAAAUGAAUGAAAUUACAAUACAUGCUGCAACACGGAUGAAACAAAGAUAUUCUGCUAAAGAAAUAAGUCAGGAACCAAAUGAAAUUCGUUGCAUGGUUUCAAGUAUAUGAGAUGCCUAGAAAAUUUAAAUUCAUGUAGACAGAGUGUGGAAGUGGUUACCAGCAGUUGGAUGGGGUUGGAAAUGGACAGUUACUAUUCAAAUGGGAAAAGAGUUUCAGUUCGUGAUGAUGAGAUUUUUCUGAAGAUAGAAAAUAGUUAUGGUUGCUCAACAGUCUGCAUGUUCUUGCUGCCACUGAGUUGUAUAUUUAAUAAUGGACAAAAUGUUAAAGUCUGACAUAAAAACAGAAAAAUAAAUUACUAUUAUAUGACACAGUAUAAGUGUGAAUGAAAUGUAAGUGUAUCUAAGUGUAAAUAUGAAAGAAAACAAUACAAGCUAAGAGGACAGAGAGGCUGGGUAGGACUAGUUUAUGUAAGAUUAGACAGGAAUCUCUGAGAUGGGUGUAUUUUAAGAGAAUGGAAAGAGCCAGCCUGCCAUGCACAGAAGGGAGGGCAUUUACAGGCAGGGAGAUGUCAAAUGUGGAGCCUGAGGCAGGAACCAUUGUCCAGUGGCAGCAAGAGGUCUGCCAUG